GGGUUGUGAGGUUAAGCGACUAAGCGUACACGGUGGAUGCCCUGGCAGUCAGAGGCGAUGAAGGGCGUGCUAAUCUGCGAUAAGCGCCGGUAAGGUGAUAUGAACCGUUAUAACCGGCGAUACCCGAAUGGGGAAACCCAGUGUGAUUCGUCACACUAUCAUUAACUGAAUCCAUAGGUUAAUGAGGCGAACCGGGGGAACUGAAACAUCUAAGUACCCCGAGGAAAAGAAAUCAACCGAGAUUCCCCCAGUAGCGGCGAGCGAACGGGGAGGAGCCCAGAGCCUGAAUCAGCAUGUGUGUUAGUGGAAGCGUCUGGAAAGGCGCGCGAUACAGGGUGACAGCCCCGUACACAAAAGCGCAUGUGCUGUGAGCUCGAUGAGUAGGGCGGGACACGUGGUAUCCUGUCUGAAUAUGGGGGGACCAUCCUCCAAGGCUAAAUACUCCUGACUGACCGAUAGUGAACCAGUACCGUGAGGGAAAGGCGAAAAGAACCCCGGCGAGGGGAGUGAAAAAGAACCUGAAACCGUGUACGUACAAGCAGUGGGAGCACCCUUCGGGGUGUGACUGCGUACCUUUUGUAUAAUGGGUCAGCGACUUAUAUUCUGUAGCAAGGUUAACCGAAUAGGGGAGCCGCAGGGAAACCGAGUCUUAACCGGGCGUUAAGUUGCAGGGUAUAGACCCGAAACCCGGUGAUCUAGCCAUGGGCAGGUUGAAGGUUGGGUAACACUAACUGGAGGACCGAACCGACUAAUGUUGAAAAAUUAGCGGAUGACCUGUGGCUGGGGGUGAAAGGCCAAUCAAACCGGGAGAUAGCUGGUUCUCCCCGAAAGCUAUUUAGGUAGCGCCUCGUGAACUCAUCUUCGGGGGUAGAGCACUGUUUCGGCUAGGGGGUCAUCCCGACUUACCAACCCGAUGCAAACUGCGAAUACCGGAGAAUGUUAUCACGGGAGACACACGGCGGGUGCUAACGUCCGUCGUGAAGAGGGAAACAACCCAGACCGCCAGCUAAGGUCCCAAAGUCAUGGUUAAGUGGGAAACGAUGUGGGAAGGCCCAGACAGCCAGGAUGUUGGCUUAGAAGCAGCCAUCAUUUAAAGAAAGCGUAAUAGCUCACUGGUCGAGUCGGCCUGCGCGGAAGAUGUAACGGGGCUAAACCAUGCACCGAAGCUGCGGCAGCGACACUGUGUGUUGUUGGGUAGGGGAGCGUUCUGUAAGCCUGUGAAGGUGUGUCGUGAGGCAUGCUGGAGGUAUCAGAAGUGCGAAUGCUGACAUAAGUAACGAUAAAGCGGGUGAAAAGCCCGCUCGCCGGAAGACCAAGGGUUCCUGUCCAACGUUAAUCGGGGCAGGGUGAGUCGACCCCUAAGGCGAGGCCGAAAGGCGUAGUCGAUGGGAAACGGGUUAAUAUUCCCGUACUUGGUGUUACUGCGAAGGGGGGACGGAGAAGGCUAUGUUGGCCGGGCGACGGUUGUCCCGGUUUAAGCGUGUAGGUGUGUGUUCCAGGUAAAUCCGGUUCACUUUAACACUGAGGCGUGAUGACGAGGCACUACGGUGCUGAAGCAACAAAUGCCCUGCUUCCAGGAAAAGCCUCUAAGCAUCAGGUAACAUCAAAUCGUACCCCAAACCGACACAGGUGGUCAGGUAGAGAAUACCAAGGCGCUUGAGAGAACUCGGGUGAAGGAACUAGGCAAAAUGGUGCCGUAACUUCGGGAGAAGGCACGCUGACACGUAGGUGAAGUGAUUUACUCAUGGAGCUGAAGUCAGUCGAAGAUACCAGCUGGCUGCAACUGUUUAUUAAAAACACAGCACUGUGCAAACACGAAAGUGGACGUAUACGGUGUGACGCCUGCCCGGUGCCGGAAGGUUAAUUGAUGGGGUCAGCGCAAGCGAAGCUCCUGAUCGAAGCCCCGGUAAACGGCGGCCGUAACUAUAACGGUCCUAAGGUAGCGAAAUUCCUUGUCGGGUAAGUUCCGACCUGCACGAAUGGCGUAAUGAUGGCCAGGCUGUCUCCACCCGAGACUCAGUGAAAUUGAACUCGCUGUGAAGAUGCAGUGUACCCGCGGCAAGACGGAAAGACCCCGUGAACCUUUACUAUAGCUUGACACUGAACAUUGAGCCUUGAUGUGUAGGAUAGGUGGGAGGCUUUGAAGUGUGGACGCCAGUCUGCAUGGAGCCAACCUUGAAAUACCACCCUUUAAUGUUUGAUGUUCUAACGUGGACCCGUAAUCCGGGUUGCGGACAGUGUCUGGUGGGUAGUUUGACUGGGGCGGUCUCCUCCUAAAGAGUAACGGAGGAGCACGAAGGUUGGCUAAUCCUGGUCGGACAUCAGGAGGUUAGUGCAAUGGCAUAAGCCAGCUUGACUGCGAGCGUGACGGCGCGAGCAGGUGCGAAAGCAGGUCAUAGUGAUCCGGUGGUUCUGAAUGGAAGGGCCAUCGCUCAACGGAUAAAAGGUACUCCGGGGAUAACAGGCUGAUACCGCCCAAGAGUUCAUAUCGACGGCGGUGUUUGGCACCUCGAUGUCGGCUCAUCACAUCCUGGGGCUGAAGUAGGUCCCAAGGGUAUGGCUGUUCGCCAUUUAAAGUGGUACGCGAGCUGGGUUUAGAACGUCGUGAGACAGUUCGGUCCCUAUCUGCCGUGGGCGCUGGAGAACUGAGGGGGCUGCUCCUAGUACGAGAGGACCGGAGUGGACGCAUCACUGGUGUUCGGGUUGUCAUGCCAAUGGCACUGCCCGGUAGCUAAAUGCGGAAGAGAUAAGUGCUGAAAGCAUCUAAGCACGAAACUUGCCCCGAGAUGAGUUCUCCCUGAGACUUUAGGUCUCCUGAAGGAACGUUGAAGACGACGACGUUGAUAGGCCGGGUGUGUAAGCGCAGCGAUGCGUUGAGCUAACCGGUACUAAUGAACCGUGAGGCUUAACCUUACAACGCCGAAG
rnacentral:rRNA from 1 species